rnacentral:rRNA from 1 species
AUGUACAUGCCUACAAUGUUAAUGCACUAGAUCCCAUUAGAACUCUGCAAUUAAGCAUGCUUGGGCUAGAGUAGUAUUGGGAUGGGUGACCUCCCAUGAAGUCCUAGUGUUUUACAUC